CCUACGGGGGGCUGCAGUGGGGAAUAUUGGACAAUGGGGGCAACCCUGAUCCAGCCAUGCCGCGUGUGUAAAGAAGGCCCUCGGGUUGUAAAGCACUUUCAGUGAGGAAGAACGCCUGGUGGUUAAUACCCAUCAGGAAAGACAUCACUCACAGAAGAAGCACCGGCUAACUCCGUGCCAGCAGCCGCGGUAAUACGGAGGGUGCGAGCGUUAAUCGGAAUUACUGGGCGUAAAGCGCGCGUAGGUGGCUUGAUAAGCCGGUUGUGAAAGCCCCGGGCUCAACCUGGGAACGGCAUCCGGAACUGUCAAGCUAGAGUGCAGGAGAGGAAGGUAGAAUUCCCGGUGUAGCGGUGAAAUGCGUAGAGAUCGGGAGGAAUACCAGUGGCGAAGGCGGCCUUCUGGACUGACACUGACACUGAGGUGCGAAAGCGUGGGUAGCAAACAGGAUUAGAUACCCGGGUAGUC
rnacentral:rRNA from 1 species